rnacentral:rRNA from 1 species
UACGAAGGGGGCUAGCGUUGCUCGGAAUUACUGGGCGUAAAGGGCGCGUAGGCGGAUAGUUUAGUCAGAGGUAAAAGCCCAGGGCUCAACCUUGGAACUGCCUUUGAUACUGGCUAUCUUGAGUUCGGGAGAGGUGAGUGGAAUGCCGAGUGUAGAGGUGAAAUUCGUAGAUAUUAGGAAGAACACCAGUGGCGAAGGCGGCUCACUGGCCCGGUACUGACGCUGAGGCGCGAAAGCGUGGGGAGCAAACAGG